GAUGAACGCUGGCGGCGUGCCUAAUACAUGCAAGUCGAGCGAACGGACGAGAAGCUUGCUUCUCUGAUGUUAGCGGCGGACGGGUGAGUAACACGUGGAUAACCUACCUAUAAGACUGGGAUAACUUCGGGAAACCGGAACUAAUACCGGAUGAUAUUUUGAACCGCAUGGUUCAAAAGUGAAAGACGGUCUUGCUGUCACUUAUAGAUGGAUCCGCGCUGCAUUAGCUAGUUGGUAAGGUAACGGCUUACCAGGGCAACGAUGCAUAGCCGACCUGAGAGGGUGAUCGGCCACACUGGAACUGAGACACGGUCCAGACUCCUACGGGAGGCAGCAGUAGGGAAUCUUCCGCAAUGGGCGAAAGCCUGACGGAGCAACGCCGCGUGAGUGAUGAAGGUCUUCGGAUCGUAAAACUCUGUUAUUAGGGAAGAACAUAUGUGUAAGUAACUGUGCACAUCUUGACGGUACCUAAUCAGAAAGCCACGGCUAACUACGUG
rnacentral:rRNA from 1 species